rnacentral:rRNA from 1 species
CCUACGGGUGGCAGCAGUGGGGAAUAUUGCACAAUGGGGGAAACCCUGAUGCAGCGACGCCGCGUGAGUGAAGAAGUAACUCGUUACGUAAAGCUCUAUCAGCAGGGAAGAUAAUGACGGUACCUGAGUAAGAAGCCCCGGCUAACUACGUGCCAGCAGCCGCGGUAAUACGGAGGAGGCGAGCGUUAUCCGGAUUUAUUGGGUUUAAAGGGUGCGUAGGCGGAAUAUCAAGUCUGCGGUAAAAAUCCGGGGCUUAACCCCGUCGUGCCGUUGAAAAUGAUGUGCUUGAGUGGGCGAGAAGUAAGCGGAAUGCGUGGUGUAGCGGUGAAAUGCGUAGAUAUUACGCAGAACACCGGUGGCGAAGGCAGCAUACCGGCGUCCAACUGACGCUGAAGCACGAAAGCGUGGGUAGCGAACAGGAUUAGAUACCCGAGUAGUC